rnacentral:rRNA from 2 species
UACGAAGGGGGCUAGCGUUGCUCGGAAUCACUGGGCGUAAAGGGCGCGUAGGCGGCGUUUUAAGUCGGGGGUGAAAGCCUGUGGCUCAACCACAGAAUGGCCUUCGAUACUGGGACGCUUGAGUCUGGUAGAGGUUGGUGGAACUGCGAGUGUAGAGGUGAAAUUCGUAGAUAUUCGCAAGAACACCGGUGGCGAAGGCGGCCAACUGGACCAGUACUGACGCUGAGGCGCGAAAGCGUGGGGAGCAAAC